GACGAACGCUGGCGGCGUGCCUAAUACAUGCAAGUCGAGCGAAUGACGAGAAGCUUGCUUCUCUGAUUUAGCGGCGGACGGGUGAGUAACACGUGGGCAACCUGCCCUACAGAUUGGGAUAACUCAGGGAAACCUGGGCUAAUACCGAAUAAUCCUUCGAAUCACAUGUUUUGAAGUUGAAAGGCGCUUCGGCGUCACUGUAGGAUGGGCCCGCGGUGCAUUAGCUAGUUGGUGGGGUAACGGCCUACCAAGGCAACGAUGCAUAGCCGACCUGAGAGGGUGAUCGGCCACAUUGGGACUGAGACACGGCCCAAACUCCUACGGGAGGCAGCAGUAGGGAAUCUUCCACAAUGGACGAAAGUCUGAUGGAGCAACGCCGCGUGAGUGAUGAAGGUUUUCGGAUCGUAAAACUCUGUUGUAAGGGAAGAACAAGUACGUUAGGAAAUGAACGUACCUUGACGGUACCUUAUUAGAAAGCCACGGCUAACUACGUGCCAGCAGCCGCGGUAAU
rnacentral:rRNA from 1 species